AUGGCACCCUCGACUGCAGCCCUGGCCGUGGUCGCGCUUCUAGCUCUCUCCGUCUCUGCGAGCGACACUCACUCGUCCGACAGGUGGAAGCGGCUGUCGGACCAGCGGCUGGCGGAGCUGCAGACUCUGGUGGCGCUGGAGGCGAUGGGCCACACCGUGCCCGUGGGCGCCGGCGUCGUGGACCCCAGGGCAGUUGGUCGCAAACGUUCUGAUUGGGAUGACACCUGGCGACCGCAAGGCGAAGCAGACGUGCCGCUGGCUCUGUACGGUGGAACCCAAGGAGUGUGGCCGGCGCAGCAGUAACUGCAAGACGAGCCGAGACACUGGGCGUGCAA